UAGUUAAAGGUUUUAGGAUAUUUGGAAUUAAGCAUAUUUGAGUUUGAGUAGUACUAGGCUGGAUGACUUCUCAGGAAAUCCAAAUUCAAGAGCUUAUAAUUCUUUGACAAUUGACGCAAAAUUUGAAUGAAUAAAAGGAAUCUAACAUUGUAAUAGUCCCUAUGGACGCAAUAUGAUUUUGCCCAAUGCUCUAAAUGUCAAAGUGAAAGCCUAAGUAAUUGGCAGGAGUAAAUAUAACUCUCUUAAGGUAGCCAAAUGCUUUGUCAUCUAAUUAGUGACGUAUAUGAAUGGAUUAAUAAAAUUCCACUAUCCUUACCUACUAUCUAGCGAAACCACAACCAAGGGAACAAGCUUAG
rnacentral:ncRNA from 1 species